GAGUGGCGAACGGGUGAGUAACACGUGGGAAACCUACCUCUUAGCAGGGGAUAACAUUUGGAAACAGAUGCUAAUACCGUAUAACAAUGACAACCGCAUGGUUGUUAUUUAAAAGAUGGUUCUGCUAUCACUAAGAGAUGGUCCCGCGGUGCAUUAGCUAGUUGGUAAGGUAAUGGCUUACCAAGGCGAUGAUGCAUAGCCGAGUUGAGAGACUGAUCGGCCACAAUGGGACUGAGACACGGCCCAUACUCCUACGGGAGGCAGCAGUAGGGAAUCUUCCACAAUGGGCGAAAGCCUGAUGGAGCAACGCCGCGUGUGUGAUGAAGGGUUUCGGCUCGUAAAACACUGUUGUAAGAGAAGAAUGACAUUGAGAGUAACUGUUCAAUGUGUGACGGUAUCUUACCAGAAAGGAACGGCUAAAUACGUGCCAGCAGCCGCGGUAAUACGUAUGUUCCAAGCGUUAUCCGGAUUUAUUGGGCGUAAAGCGAGCGCAGACGGUUAUUUAAGUCUGAAGUGAAAGCCCUCAGCUCAACUGAGGAAUUGCUUUGGAAACUGGAUGACUUGAGUGCAGUAGAGGAAAGUGGAACUCCAUGUGUAGCGGUGAAAUGCGUAGAUAUAUGGAAGAACACCAGUGGCGAAGGCGGCUUUCUGGACUGUAACUGACGUUGAGGCUCGAAAGUGUGGGUAGCAAACAGGAUUAGAUACCCUGGUAGUCCACACCGUAAACGAUGAGUGCUAGGUGUUUGAGGGUUUCCGCUCUUAAGUGCCGCAGCUAACGCAUUAAGCACUCCGCCUGGGGAGUACGACCGCAAGGUUGAAACUCAAAGGAAUUGACGGGGACCCGCACAAGCGGUGGAGCAUGUGGUUUAAUUCGAAGCAACGCGAAGAACCUUACCAGGUCUUGACAUCCCUUGACAACUCCAGAGAUGGAGCGUUCCCUUCGGGGACAAGGUGACAGGUGGUGCAUGGUUGUCGUCAGCUCGUGUCGUGAGAUGUUGGGUUAAGUCCCGCAACGAGCGCAACCCUUAUUACUAGUUGCCAGCAUUCAGUUGGGCACUCUAGUGAGACUGCCGGUGACAAACCGGAGGAAGGUGGGGAUGACGUCAAAUCAUCAUGCCCCUUAUGACCUGGGCUACACACGUGCUACAAUGGCGUAUACAACGAGUUGCCAACCCGCGAGGGUGAGCUAAUCUCUUAAAGUACGUCUCAGUUCGGAUUGUAGGCUGCAACUCGCCUACAUGAAGUCGGAAUCGCUAGUAAUCGCGGAUCAGCACGCCGCGGUGAAUACGUUCCCGGGUCUUGUACACACCGCCCGUCACACCAUGAGAGUUUGUAACACCCAAAGCCGGUGGGGUAACCUU
rnacentral:rRNA from 1 species